ACAUGGUCUGAUGCAUUUUUUAGCUUGC
rnacentral:sRNA from 1 species